rnacentral:rRNA from 1 species
CAGUCGCCGCGGGAAUACGUAUGUCACAAGCGUUAUCCGGAUUUAUUGGGCGUAAAGCGCGUCUAGGUGGUUAUGUAAGUCUGAUGUGAAAAUGCAGGGCUCAACUCUGUAUUGCGUUGGAAACUGUGUAACUAGAGUACUGGAGAGGUAAGCGGAACUACAAGUGUAGAGGUGAAAUUCGUAGAUAUUUGUAGGAAUGCCGAUGGGGAAGCCAGCUUACUGGACAGAUACUGACGCUAAAGCGCGAAAGCGUGGGUAGCAAACAGGAUUAGAUACCCGAGUAGUCCCUGUCUCUUAUACA